rnacentral:tRNA from 1 species
GAGGGAAUAGCUCAGUGGUAGAGCGUGUGCUUAGCGUCCACGAGAUCCUGGGUUCAGUCCCCGGUACCUCCA